GAGGAGCUGCAGCCGCCAUGAGGCCUCCCCUCAGCUCCUCUGCUCUGGGCUGAGCACACUCAGGGACCUCCGCCACUCCUCAUACACCUUGCCCUAUGGACCCUUCACUGUCUUUGUAGCUCUUCUUUAGAUGCUCUCUCAUUGUUUUUAAGUCCUUAUAUUGUGACACCCAAACCUGCACAUGGUGCUCAAGGUGAGGCUGCACCAAUGCAGAGAUCUUGUUACUCUUUUUCAUAUGUUCUACCACUACGGCAAGAUGCUGUGUUGCUUUUUGUCUUUCAUUGUACCAUUUGCAAUUACUUUUUCCACGGUGUGCAAGCAUUUCUUUUUUAUUUUCUGGAGAUAUUCUUAAGAGAGCUGAAGUAAGCUUACUCUCUGCACCCAUCUGUUUAAUUACAGCCAGAUCUCUAAUGACUGGUACCGUGAGCACCGUUUUUGUUUGGGCUCUAAUCUUAAGCUUUUUGUGACCUUCUGUAGCUCAGAAUUGGCACAGAUAUUUAAAUUAAAUAUAUACAAUGAAUUUACUCAGACUUUUAUUGUCAGGUACUCCUGAUGCGUGUGCUAUUGCUCCUUUGAGCUGUGACAAUUCUGAUACUUGGCAGUCUCUAAAGUGUUACACUUCAGAGCCAACAGUUCCUAAUGUAGCUGAACAUCAGACAGUCUUAGUGAGGAUUUGAGUUACUGUGCGCUUGUCUGGAUCACUUGGGGACUGGGAUUUGUUCUGAUUCACAGGUACUCCCAAGAUCUUUGAUUUGACCUCAGCUGAGCCAAAAGUUGUUAAAAUGUUACUUUUUGCUAAUAAAUCACUAGCCACAGGAUCAUACUAGCCUACUUACAGAUGUAGUAUGUAUGAAGUCAGGCUGUAUUUAGUUCUGAAGAAAUGGGGUCAAUAACUGAGACAGAGUGAUACUGAGCUUACAAGGAGGUUAUCGCUUGGUUGAGACUGCGUUCCCAGGCGCCCCAACUGCAGGGUGGUUUGCCUCUGGAGCAGGCUGGUGCUGUUCUGCACUUCUUUUUAGGCCACUAAUUGUCUAAUGAGGCUCCAGCAAAUGCUGCAAACUAAUCUUUCGGACAUUAUUCAGACUGCAGCCUACAUCUCAUGGAGCGCUUCUCCACAACAUCUGGUUACUCUUAAGUAUCCAUCCAGGACUGUACUGUACAUCUGACUCUGGCAGAUGAAGCCUUUCUGCUCCUUGCAGAGAAUUUCUUUUAUCACGUGUGAAUAUCUGUGAGUCCUGUGAAAACACCAGUUGGUGUUGGGGCCUGCUCUGAGCACUUCCCUGUUCAAGUGUUGCGUUUGUUAGAGAGUCUGCCUUUAUUAUUAAGGAGACGGUGUUGUGUAUAACAGGUGUGCAGUAUCCGGUGGGGCAAAAACCCAGGGGAACCAGACAGUGUAUUUAGAUUAAGGCUUCUUCCAGAUGGGAGCUCCUGAUUGUCUCAUUAAUCAUGUAGCUAUUAAUAUCAUUGCAGCACAAUUCCUGUACGUGUUCCAGAAGCCAUAAUGGUAGUAAGCCCAUCUUGCUCGUCACUCAUCUAACCAAAUUGAGAACAAGCUAACAAAAGUUGGUGGAAUUGCAAAUAAGUAGUAUAAUAGAGUAUAUAUAGCUUGUAGGAACUGGCUUUUCUCUUUUUUCUUCACUGAAAUGGCACUGGAACAAGUUCCAUCUUAUUUGAACUGCUCAUGUAGACCAAAGACCUUUUUGUCAAAUGGAGAGGGAUCAGGGUUGUACCUUGGACUGGAAAAUGCCCAGCCAUAGGUUUUGCUGCUUAAUUUGUCUGUAACUACUGCCUGCACUGCUAAUAGGGCUGCUGUCCAGAUGAAAGGGCCAUCCAUGAAAGUCGUGAUUUCAGCUCUAAAUGCUGUAUCAGGAUGAACUGAAAUGAAUUUGCUGAUCCUUUUCUCCCUGCAGAGAUUUUAAACCACAUUGGUUUAAAUGGUGCUUUUGGUUAGAAAUGAGUUCAUGUGAGCAGUUCUGUAACAUAAGCAGUGCAUAGCUGUAGUAGUAUGACAGUUCUGUGUGUGUUGAGAUGCUUCAAGCAUUUAUAAGCCUUUAAAAUGAGCUUGCGUAAUCUCAUUUUGCUACACAAGAUGUGACCUUUCUGGUAGCUCAUAAGUCCCUUGAAAGUCCAGUAUUAAUAUUUUGUUGGCUGAACGUAGUCUUUGGGAGUAUUGCAUUACACCAGCAGUAAAAAUCUAUUUGAUGACUUAGUGCUCUGCUGAUUGAUUCUGGCUAUAAUCAUUGGAAGGAUACAGAGUAGAGACUAGAACGUGACCUUCUGGUGCUGAGACCAAUAGUGUGUAUCAUGUUGAAGGGAUUGUUCAACCAUUGACUGCAGGAGUGAUGUGCUUCAGAAGAUUUAUUGUAAUGAGCCAAACAUCCAUGAUGUGUGUCUUUCUUGCUCUCCUGUUGAAGUCCAUAAUACAUUUCCAUUGACCUGGAUUACUGGAGGCUGUGGAGACAGCGUAAAACCUGGGCUGUCUUCAGAGGAGUUCUCUUUAGGUGCAUCAGUUUGGUGUUGGGGCAACAACACGAGGUAUACACAGUUCAGGAGUCAGUCACAGCACAGUAUUAGUGUGUUGUGUUCCUCUGCUCCUUUAAAAAGUGUACCAUUUGCAAACCAAUGUGUUAAAGAAAAAUGCUUCUGGGGAGGAGGUGAUUGUAUAACGUAAAUUGUAUCAGCACAGUCCAGAGGCAUAUUGCUGUUGCUUUUCCUCUGUUACGUGCGCCAUCACUUGCUGGGUUCUUCCACUGCAGUGUGUUACUUAAGUACAUUUGUGGCACUCAGUAAGUAGUGAGUAUUGGGACUCAAAAUUAAUGAGAGGUUAGAGAGGACUCUCCAUCUGAGUGGAGCUGCAAAAUUCUGAGGUUUGAAAUGUCAAAAUCUUCAGGGAUCAGUACGUCAGUACCCUACCUUAUUAGGUUAUAUCCCUUAUGUUCCUUGUGGUGGACUGCUUGGCCCACAGAUGCAUCUCCCCCCUCCUAAGCAGAGAAACAAGGUCUUUGGGUAGAGGAUUCCUGUUACUAUUGUUCCUAUUUUCAUAAUCCAGUUUUUAGGAUGUGAGGGGACGUGGACUAUCAUAUAGUAAAGAUCAUUUUCCUUUUGCGCAUUAAUUUUUCAAAUGCUUUCUUGCUCUUUCCGAUCUAAUGGGAGGUUGAGCCUUACUUUGUAUUGAAUUAGAGUUGCAAAUAAAAUUCUGGGCCAUUGAUUCAGGGUGUGCUGUCAUUUCUGGCUGUGUCCUAGAGCAAACUAUUUUGGGAUUGAGGAAAGCAGCCAGAGGUAGAGCAUUAGAACUGAAAGCAGCAGAGGGAGAGAGCAAGGGAGGUAGGCUGAUAUGCAGUAGGCCAACAAGUCUUGUUCUUUAAUAACCAGAGAAAGUAAUAGACAAGGGAGAAGAAAAUACUUGUUCUUUUAUGCAAAUUUCCAAGCAUGAAAAUCGGCUGUAUGUUUUCACACUUAAUGUUACUUGCCUGUAUUAAACGUCAGUGCUUUUGUAGGCUGUUAUUCUGUGCAAGAAUAAUUAUGAAUUAACACAGAAGUUGUAUCCAUUGUGCUGUUACUGAAGCAGCUACUUUCAGAUGUAAAGCAUGGAAGAAAGAGAAGAAUCUGAGCUUGUGACUAUCUCCUUUAUUGGUACCAUCUGAUAAGUUCAGCUAUUCCAGUAAUUUACUGCAGCAUCCUCAGGUGCUUCCAUUUCAUUACCCUAUAUAAAAUGUUUUUUUCUUCCUCCUUUGUAAUUAGCCUCUUGCUGGUCUAAGUAGCUAUAACCCCAAGAAAAGGUUGGGGCUUGAAGUGCAGAGUGAGGCUCUAUGGCCUUGAUUUUUGGCAGAGCUCAGAUUAGACAGUUUUAUUUUUUUCUUCUGCAACUUAAAAAACAAAAAGCAAAAACAGGGAAAAAAAAACCAUUAAAGAGAAGCAAAGAGGUCAGCAGAUAUUUUUUCCAUAUUGUUAUAAUAUCUCUUCUAAUAAAUGCUGUUCUCUGUGGGUGGAAUAAUGGGACAGUUUAUGGUUUCAGUAGCAACUGGUCCUGGUUAGCUGGGGAAGAAUUGGAAAUGCAGAGACAGAGUUGCCUGCUGGGUUGGAGUGCUCAUAGGUAAAGGACAUCCUGGAGAAGGCUACGCUUUUGCCUGACAGCAAGAUUUGAUGUUUAGGUUCAGAUUUGGAUGGUGUAGCGUUGAGGGUAUGAGAGAGACCAAGAGCAGUUCCUUGGCUGUAUGGCUGGGUUGCAUGGAUUGAUACCAGUUGCCUGAUCUGUGCUCUUCCUCUUCUUCCCCAGGGGAGCUGCAGCCAGCCAUGCGUAGCUGGGGCACUGUCUGGUAGAGAGCAAGCUGUGGACCAGCUGGGAGGUGGAUGAAGCUUUUACCAUGCCACUGCUUGACUUACUGGCGUUGAAAUAGUCGGCAGGGCACUGAGAGUUUGUUCAGUGUGGACAUAGGUGACAGAGGGCCUGAUGUGCCUAGAAACAUGAUUCAGGCAUAGCUUUAAGUGCCUGAAGCUUAGAAAAGGGGUGAGCAGACCUGUGUUGCUGUUGCUGUGGCGGCACACAGCCUCGAUGAAAAUCUGUCAUUGUGUGCCUCCAUCUGUGCCCCGGGGCUGGGAGCUGUGCUGGGCUGUGCUCAGACACAACCGCUGACUGAAGCAUAACCGAAAGAAAAUAGGGAAAGCAUCACAUACUGAAACAAGAUUUCUUUUAUUUCAGUGCAGUACAAAGAAAUAGGAGUUACUUAGGAGUUACUUUGCUUUGAAUGAAAAUACCGAAACUAAAAAACAAAGCAGAUGAAAUUCAUUCAUGUAGUACUAGGAAUCCUUGGAUAUCAAAGCAGUGAAAAAUGAUAGCUAUGGUGCUGCAGCAUCAAAAUAAAUAUUUACAUAUUUUUAAUGCUUUUUUUUUCCUUGAAGUAGUGUUAUCUCAUUGGUAGCUUAGUUUGCAGCAGUGCAGUAUUACCCACUUCCAAACGCUGACAGUGCUCUGUUAGCCAUCAGUCUUUCAGCCAGUGAUGUCCUUAUGUGCGGCAUGGCCCAGUACAGCAGCACCCAUCCUGUACCAGGCCACAGCUUCCCCGCUCUCUGACCAAACCAAAGUCAGUUGUUGUUAGUUCCAAAGAAUGAAUCUGCUCGUUCAGUUAAGUACAUUGAAUGUUGGUUACAUAGAGUAAUGCUGUAAACAGUGGGCCCAGUUCACAGACAGGUAAGGUGAACUCACUGUGGUAAGAUCAUAAGGAAGUUGUUUAAAAAGAAGAAAACAAUAAUAAAAUAAAAUUGCUACAUUGCCUGUCAUCCUGCAGCAUGAAACACAGCAACUGCUCAGUUUGUGGUUUUUAAACAAGAGUGUUUGCUUUCAGGUUGAAUCAGGACAGGUCAGCUGUUUACCUAAUAAAUGCAGAUGAGUUAUGUUUCCAAAGGUAUCAAAACAUACCAACGUACUGGUUUACAUCAGAGUUAAUAAUCCCGUUUACAGACUCUGAUUUUACUUUUUCUACUAAGUAAAUGUCUGUUACGCAGGUAUUGCUAUGAACCAAGCCCAUUGUAGAAAGGAAGCACGUUUCUUGCCAAGUUAAAAGUCUUUAUAUAAGAACAUGUUUUUAUAAUGGAUUUGAAGAGCUGCUGUGUGAGUUAUUAAAAUCGUGUGUCUUCCUGCUUGCGCUUUGUAACAACACAGAAAAUGGAUAAACGUGGUAAAAUGUAGUGUCCAUAGAAAAUAACGUGUAAAAAAAAUUCAGUAUCUCAUAUUAAAGCAUUUACACUGCAUAGGCAUUCAUAUAAGGAUAUAGUAUAAUAAAACUUAUCAAAUAUAUAAGCAUGCAGCAAUUGCCUUAUUCACAGUUCUAGAAAUGACCACACGUUGAUUUCCUUAAAUACAAAUUGGGUUAUCCAAAAUAGAUUUUGCAGCUACUCUCCUUUGCGGAGGCAGACUAUGUUCUCAUGUGCAUUGCAGGUACUGACCUAUAUAACAGGCCUAAGCUAUGCCACUGUAUUGUACACAUCUGUGAUAAAUACUGUGUUCUGAAAUAGGAAGGACGACGAGAAGUUACUCAUACUUCUCAUAGAAGAGCUUGGAGACUACACAAUGCUCGAAUUAACAAAAUAUAUAAGCACAUUUACUGUGUUCUCCUUAGAGAGUAAUACUGCAACCUUGCCACGUAUCUAACUACUGCAUAAGCUGGCCAUGCAGUUUUCAAAGUAAGUUUAGACAGAUUUUUCUAUUUGAUAGAGGAGGCAUAGUAGUAAACUCAUAUAGUACAUGUCCUCUCUGCCCUGCAAACUUGAUGAAAUACUCCUGUUACUCUCAGCUUGUGUAGGCAAGUAUAAUACAAUGCAGUGCCAAAAUCACACCCACAGGGAAAUUUUCUUUUUUUCAUCUACUUUCUUGAAGGCAGUGUUUGCAUAUGCAAUGGUGAACUUGAACUGUUCAUCUGUUGCAAGAUGACAGUACCUAGGUUAGACCUCUCUGUGGCUGCAGGGAACCUGGCAGGGAGCUGUGGAGCUUGCUGCUGUGCGUGGCUUUGCCUUGCUAGUUCUGCACAGCUUGGCACCUUCCCCUGGUGUGGGACUCAGGACAGCAGUGAGCAACACAUUUGGAGGCGAAGCUUUGUGUUGAAGUUGUGUGAGAUUUGAUGCUGACAACAGGCCUUGGCCACGCCAAGGUUAAACUGGAGUGAAGAUUAUGACUUAAAACCCUUCCCCCUUUCAGGUAUUUUAUUCUGCUUUCCUUAUCCUUGUACGUAGUGAAACUAAAAUAAAAAUGUUGUUCUCUUUAAACAACGUGCACAUCUACCUCCUUCCUCUUGGCACUUCAGGUAAAGCUGGCAGAGGUAAUGAUGGAGGAUGUCACAGCACCCCAGAUGGAAGCUGCAGGGAUUCAUCGCUUUGUGCAAAAUAGCAAAGGAGUCCUACACAAACCAGCAUGUAAGAAAUAAUAGCUCAAACAUGGAAAAAAAAAAAAAAAAGCCAGGGAAAAUUCCUUCAAUCUUGCCUGGGAAUUUAUUUAAAGCAUCUGCAGAUGGCUUGAAGCAGGUGCUGCAGCUGCUUUUAGUAUGGUGCUCUCCUGGAAGUGGAACAGAUUGUACUUUGUUGUGAGCCCCAAGUUCCCACAGGUAUGUACCACCUUUUGAGUACAAGUAGAAUUUGGAUGGGUAGGACCUUAGCAUUUUCUAGAAUCCUUAUUAGCUUUCCUUAUACAAACCACCAAACUAUUCCUUGGAAAGAAGAAAAAGUAUAUUUUUCCAAUUUUACCUGCCUCUUUCACCUGCUUCUCAAAGUAAAGAAAUGAAUUGAAUUCCUAAAGACCAGCGUCCUCUCUCCUUAUUGUACUUAAGUUAACAGCAAAUUUCAGUCAUCAAAAUCUGGCUGUAUGGUAAAAAAUAAUAAUAAUAAUUUAGAACAAAAUGAGGCCAUAAGAAGGCUGUCACCAGAACCUCCACAUCAUUUAAAACUUGCCAGUUUUUUUUUUUUCAAUCCAUUCUUUAUUCCUCCUCCCACCCUUCUGUAUGUAUAUUUCUCCAGGUGGACACACCUUCCUUGCAUUUUUGAGCUCCUUUAUUAUGCUUUCCCUAGUAUUAUAUUAGGUAAGGACUCUCUGAAAGGGCAAAAGCUUGCUGAGCAGCCCAUGGUUUUCAUACAAAGCAGGUAAGUAGAAGUGUUUUUUUCUUUGCUCCUUGGGCAGUCACAAGUGGAAAACCUGGAAUGUGCUGUUGAAGGAGAAGGAAAUAGUGAGAGUGCAAGAUUGGCUCCUCCACCUUCAGAAAGAAGCAGUUGUUGCUUCCAGAAGCAUCCUGCUUUUCUUUUAGGGUUCUCAAGCUUCAAGAAGAACAAAAAUAGAGGUAUACUAUCACUUGAGGAAUUAGAAAUGAGGAAUAAAGUGGAGUGAUAGAAUACUGAAGAAAUCUACUAGAAAAAUUCCGUUAGCAAGUCAGUCAUUAAAAUGUGGCUCCACACACUUCCAUUUCAAGAGUUUCUCAUUAUAUGUGUUACAUACUGUCUUGUUCAGACAAUGCUACAUGUAAUGUGCUGUGCCUUUAAUCUUUAAAAUGAAGUUAUUUUCCCAUGAAGAUCCCAGGAAUCUCUCCAAGGUUACAUUUGAAAACAUAAUUCCAGCUUCUGAGUCGGCUGUAAACAUUAUCUAGGUAGCAUUUUUGUUUU